CUACGUGCCAGCAGCCGCGGUAAUACGUAGGGUGCGAGCGUUAAUCGGAAUUACUGGGCGUAAAGCGAGCGCAGACGGUUACUUAAGCAGGAUGUGAAAUCCCCGGGCUCAACCUGGGAACUGCGUUCUGAACUGGGUGACUAGAGUGUGUCAGAGGGAGGUAGAAUUCCACGUGUAGCAGUGAAAUGCGUAGAGAUGUGGAGGAAUACCGAUGGCGAAGGCAGCCUCCUGGGAUAACACUGACGUUCAUGCUCGAAAGCGUGGGUAGCAAACAGGAUUAGAUACCCUGGUAGUCCACGCCCUAAACGAUGUCAAUUAGCUGUUGGGCAACUUGAUUGCUUAGUAGCGUAGCUAACGCGUGAAAUUGACCGCCUGGGGAGUACGGUCGCAAGAUUAAAACUCAAAGGAAUUGACAGGGACCCGCACAAGCGGUGGAUGAUGUGGAUUAAUUCGAUGCAACGCGAAGAACCUUACCUGGUCUUGACAUCCCUCUGACCGCUCUAGAGAUAGAGUUUUC
rnacentral:rRNA from 1 species